AUUGAACGCUGGCGGCAGGCCUAACACAUGCAAGUCGAGCGGAGCGGCGGACGGGUGAGUAAUGCCUAGGAAUCUGCCUGGUAGUGGGGGACAACGUCCGGAAACGGGUGCUAAUACCGCAUACUAUUCGAUGAGCCUAGGUCGGAUUAGCUAGGUGGUGGGGUAAAGGCCUACCAAGGCGACGAUCUGUACAUGGUCUGGGAGGAUGAUCCGCCAAAGUGGAACUAGGACACGGUCCGGACUCUUACGGGAGGCAGAGGUGGGGAUUAUGGAACAAGGGGCGAAAUCGUGAUCCAGCAAGGCCCGGGGUGUGAGGAAGGUCUUCGGAUUGUAAAACUCUUUAGUGAGGGAGGCGUUACCAACAGAAUAAGCACCGGCUAACUUCGUGCCAGCAGCCGCGGUAAUUC
rnacentral:rRNA from 1 species